rnacentral:lncRNA from 1 species
CCGCGACCCGUGCUAUUCUUCUACUGCUGCCUGCUGGCCUCUCGCUCGCUUUGCAAUUUGCACCGGUGGCGAUGACUGAUGAGCUCCACCACCACCAGCUAGCCGCCCCUCAUGCGCCGGCCCUGCCGCCGUGCCACGCCACACGAUAAUCUCGUGUCAUAUCAUCGUAAACAAUCACGCAAUUUCCUUUCGUUCAUCCUGCUCCUGUCCGGUUCUUAUUUCUUUUUUUUGGUUGCACUAUCUCCCUCCUCGAGCUUUCGUGCUCGCUUAGGGACUGUUUAGUUUUAAAAAAUUUUGUAAAAUUUUUCAAGAUUCCUGUCACAUUAAAUUUUACGGCAUAUGCGUGAAACAUUAAAUAUAGAUAAAAAACAAUUAAUUGCAUAGUUUAUCUGUAAUUUGUGUGAUGAAUUUUUUGAGUCUAGUUAGUUCAUAAUCGAACAAUAAUUAUUAAAUAUAAACGAAACUGCUACGUUAGCUAUUUUACAAAAAAAAUUAAUUUGUUCACUUAUCUUAUUAGCAGUAUUUUUUUUUCUGUCAAUCGAAAGUGUUCAGCGAAUAGUACUUUCUGCCAUAAUUUUUAGAGAAACGAACACUGAUGUUGAUAAGUGUAUGCUCAGGGUGAUUGGAAAUGGAAAUCCUGCUGUGCAAUCCUCUGCAUUUUAUAUAUUAUCCAGCUGGAAGCUGGAGCUUUGCAAUGGAGCGUGGAGAAGCGUAGCCGGCCGACUAGAGUAGUCGACUGUGUUUGGGGUGUUUAUGCCCGGGAAUUUCGCUACGAGGAACCGGAGAUGGGUUUGGACGGAUCGUGAGAAGUCAUCAGUCAUCGAGCGAUAAAUGGAAUCAUGCACGCGGGACGCGCUGCAGCAAACACACUCACACCUCAUCAGUCUACUGCUUCUCGGGCAGUAAUUUUUGUUUGGCCUUGUUUAGUUGGCAAAAUUUUUCAAGAUUUUCCGUCACAUCGAAUCUUACGGCACAUGUAUGGAGCAUUAAAUAUACAUGAAAACAAAAACUAUUUGCACAGUUCAUCUGUAAACCGCGAGAUAAAUCUUUUGAGCCUAGUUACUCUAUAAUUGAACAAUGUUUGUCAAAUAAAAACGAAAGUGC